rnacentral:misc_RNA from 1 species
AAUUACACCACAUUUUGAGCAUCUAUCUCAAGAAUUCCAUUACUGUAACAGACUAACAAGACAGCGUAAGAUUCCCGUUUUUCCAUAGAAACAUCAGGAUUCAAGAGAAGUCUUGCCCUGCUAGUAAAUCUCACAAUUUGGAUUCAACAAGUUUGAGUUUGAUCUCUUAAGAUACAAUCUAAAGGCUAGUGGCUAACCUAGUUGAUAUCUGUGAACUCUCUCUGAACUUUCAUGGAUCAUGGAGAGAAAAGAACAGCAAGAAAGAUCAAAAAAAAAAGGAGACAUUGCCCAACAAGGUUCUUGAAAUAAUUUUGUCAAAGAUUAAGGCUAGAGCAUACAACAGCUCUGAAAAUUAUUUUGGCAUUUAUCCUAAAAUUGCUCAACACUCAUCAGAAAAUGCUCUUAUUAACAAAGAAAUUACUGCAACUAUUCAGCCUUUCUUUGCUGAGGCCGCAAGUCUAGCAUACAUUCUUGCCAUGGAUUGAUA